UAUCUGGUUGAUCCUGCCAGUAGUCAUAUGCUUGUCUCAAAGAUUAAGCCAUGCAUGUCUAAGUAUAAGCAAUUUAUACAGUGAAACUGCGAAUGGCUCAUUAAAUCAGUUAUCGUUUAUUUGAUAGUUUCUUUACUACAUGGAAUACCUGUGGUAAUUCUAGAGCUAAUACAUGCUUAAAAUCCCAACUUACGAAGGGAUGUAUUUAUUAGAUAAAAAAUCAAUGUCUUCGGACUUCUGAUGAUUCAUAAUAACUUUUCGAAUCGCAUGGCUUUAUGCUGGCGAUGGUUCAUUCAAAUUUCUGCCCUAUCAACUUUUGAUGGUAGGAUAGUGGCCUACCAUGGUUUCAACGGGUAACGGGGAAUAAGGGUUCGAUUCCGGAGAGGGAGCCUGAGAAACGGCUACCACAUCCAAGGAAGGCAGCAGGCGCGCAAAUUACCCAAUCCUAAUUCAGGGAGGUAGUGACAAUAAAUAACGAUACAGGGCUUUAUGUCUUGUAAUUGGAAUGAGUACAAUUUAAAUACCUUAACGAGGAACAAUUGGAGGGCAAGUCUGGUGCCAGCAGCCGCGGUAAUUCCAGCUCCAAUAGCGUAUAUUAAAGUUGUUGCAGUUAAAAAGCUCGUAGUUGAACUUUGGGCUUGGAGAAUCGGUCCAACUUUGUUGUGUACUGUCUUCUCCAGGUCUUUCCUUCUGGUUCUCAUUUGGGGUUUACUCCAUUUGUUGAUCCAGGAUUUUUACUUUGAAAAAAUUAGAGUGUUCAAAGCAGGCGUUUUGCUCGAAUAUAUUAGCAUGGAAUAAUAGAAUAGGACGAUUGGUUCUAUUUUGUUGGUUUCUAGGACCAUCGUAAUGAUUAAUAGGGACGGUCGGGGGCAUCAGUAUUCAGUUGUCAGAGGUGAAAUUCUUGGAUUUACUGAAGACUAACUACUGCGAAAGCAUUUGUCAAGGACGUUUUCAUUAAUCAAGACGAAAGUUAGGGGAUCGAAGAUGAUCAGAUACCGUCGUAGUCUUAACCAUAAA
rnacentral:ncRNA from 1 species